AAUCAACGCUGGCGGCGUGCCUAACACAUGCAAAGUCGAAACGCGAAAAGGGGAGCAAAUCCCUGAGUAGAAGUGGCAAAACGGGUGAGUAACACGUGGGUGACCUGCCUCAGAGUGGGGGAUAACGUCCCGAAAGGGACGCUAAUACCGCAUAACAUCCUGCCUUUGGAAAGGCGGAGAUCAAAGCCGGGGAUCGCAAGACCUGGCGCUUGGAGAGGGGCCCGCGUCUGAUUAGCUAGUUGGUAGGGUAAUGGCCUACCAAGGCGACGAUCAGUAUCCGGCCUGAGAGGGCGGACGGACACACUGGGACUGAGACACGGCCCAGACUCCUACGGGAGGCAGCAGUGGGGAAUUGUUCGCAAUGGGCGCAAGCCUGACGACGCAACGCCGCGUGGAGGAUGAAGAUCUUCGGGUCGUAAACUCCUGUCGAGCGGGACGAACACUUACCUGGCUAACAUCCGGGUAGGCUGACGGUACCGCCUAAAGGGAAGCCCCGGGCUAACUCCGUGCCCAGCAGCCGCGGUAA
rnacentral:rRNA from 1 species